AUGCCGUGCCAUCUCAAUUCAUUCAGUAAACUGAAACACAAAGUUCUAACCAUAGAAAGUGCUGUACCUAGAACUUGGCAGUUCUUGGAAGAGAAAGGUGAACAAGAAUUAAGCCACGGAAUUUGGCACUCUUCACUGGGCUCAAACAAGGAAGUAGGCUCAAAUAAGAAUAUCAGCAACAGUGGCGUGAGCGCCCAGGUCCUGUUACGGGCGGCCGGGGGAAUCUUAGGGACCCAGGGCCGGGCACGCGGCAGUAACAUCUAGGACGUUCGGAACUACAGGGUCAACGUGGUGUUUGUGGACCGAUCUGGCAAGCGGAUCCCGGUGAGGGGCAGAGUCGGGGAUAAUGUUCUGUACCUGGCCCAGCGCCACGGGGUGGAUCUGGAAGGGGCCUUCGAAGCAUCUCUGGCCUGUUCUACCUGCCAUGUGUAUGUGAGUGAGGCCCACCUGGAUCUCCUUCCUCCUCCUGAGGAGAGGGAGGACGACAUGUUGGACAUGGCUCCACUGCUCCAGGAGAACUCGAGGCUGGGCUGCCAGAUUGUGCUAACCCCUGAGCUGGAAGGAGUCGAGUUUACUCUUUCCAAGAUCACCAGGAGCUUCUAUGUUAAUGGCCACAUCCCCAAGCCCCACUGACAUGAG